rnacentral:misc_RNA from 1 species
CGUCCAAGGCUUCCGAUAGCUUUUUGUUCGCCGUAUCUUUGAACAGGCUAGCCUUGGCAAACAAACUGCCCACCGUCUGAUUCGGCGCGUAGGCAGCCGGCCGUUGAUCCGGAUUCUUUUUCCAGAACAACGCCGUCUCAGGGCAUCUCCGCGAGGGCGGUGGCUGACAAUCAACCUCGGUGGAGAUUCCUCCUGGAUUCAAUAUCGCGCAGCCAUGCCCAGUAUCUCCGCCCUCUUUGUUCUGAUCCCCGUCAUGCACCAUAAAAUAGAGCCGGUAGGUAUGC